rnacentral:rRNA from 1 species
GGCGUCCCGCAAGGGACAGUCGAGCGGCGAACGGGUGAGUAACGCGUGGAUGACCUGCCCUUUAGUGUGGAACAACCAGGGGAAACUCUGGCUAAUACCGCAUAAGACCGAGAGGUGAAAGGGGGCUCGCAAGGGCUCUCGCUGAAGGAGGGGUCCGCGUCCGAUUAGCUAGUUGGUAGGGUAAUGGCCUACCAAGGCGACGAUCGGUAGCCGGCCUGAGAGGGUGAUCGGCCACACUGGAACUGAGACACGGUCCAGACUCCUACGGGAGGCAGCAGUGGGGAAUUUUGCGCAAUGGGCUAACGCCUGACGCAGCAACGCCGCGUGGAGGAUGAAGGUCCUUGGAUUGUAAACUCCUGUCAGCGGGGAAAAAGGGACUCGACCUCAUACGUCGGGGACUUGAUUGUACCCGCAGAGGAAGCCCCGGCUAACUCUGUGCCAGCAGCCGCGGUAAUACAGAGGGGGCAAGCGUUAUUCGGAAUUAUUGGGCGUAAAGGGCGCGUAGGCGGCUUUGCAAGUGACGGGUGAAAUCCCUCGGCUUAACCGAGGAAAUGCCUGUCAGACUGCAUGGCUUGAGACCAGGAGAGGUGAGUGGAAUUCCCAGUGUAGCGGUGAAAUGCGUAGAUAUUGGGAGGAACACCAGUGGCGAAGGCGGCUCACUGGACUGGUACUGACGCUGAGGCGCGAAAGCGUGGGGAGCAAACAGGAUUAGAUACCCUGGUAGCCCACGCCGUAAACGAUGAGUGCUUGGUGUAGCGGGUAUCGACCCCUGCUGUGCCGAAGUCAACACAUUAAGCACU